GAAAACACAGAACCCCCCUGACUUUAAACACAAUGGCUAACAGCAAAGAGGUUGUGCCAGCCACCUCUGUAUGGAGCUCAGGGUUCAUUGAGGAGCUCCUCCCAUCGUCUCAGCAGGUCUCCCUGCUGUACCACAUCUCCUACCUGUGUCUGGCGAAAUUCCCCAAAUUGGAGAGGCUGCUCCGGAUGCGAGCCCUGGAGACCCAACUUCUCUUCGGAUCCUCUGAAGCUGUCAUGCUGAAGUGUGUGGGCACCAGUCAGAACUUGGUUUCGUCACUGUUUCCAAUGCUGGUUCACGCUGUUGAGAAAAAUAAACCAGCACUGGCUAUAAAGUACCUGGAGAAAGCAAGAACGUGGAUCAUGGAAAUUAUCCAUGAUGUGGAAAAGAUGGUGGACAGGUACGACACACACAACAAAGAUGUGGCUACGACUACCAGUGACGUCAUCACCGAAAAAAAAGAGACAGAGAAACAGCUGAGUCAGCUUUCCAAUGAGAUUGAAGUGAUGACAGAGGAGAUUAGAAAGCUUGAAAAGGAGCUGAAUAAAACCACUGCACAGCUCAUAGAAACAGAGCAGAAGAUUGAUGCCAAACACGGUGAGGUACAGGAUGUUGUAAGAGAUGCAGCUGCUAAAAGCAGUGGCCUCAGCAUCUUCGCCUCCAUUGUGCCAGUAAUUGGUCCGAUUGUUAAGUCCAUUUACGAGGCAGUAACCUCUCCUGGAGUGGCUGCAAAAGCCAAGGCUCUUGAAGCAGAACUGAAUCGACUCACUGCUGAAAAGAUUUCACUGAAACAAAAAGAGUGGAACCUGCAGGUCCAGACAAUCGACUUGCGGAUGAAGCUGGCCAAAGUACAGAUCGACAAAGGUACCAUCCCUGAACCAACCCACCUUGGAAAAGUCCAGUAUUUUCUGAGUAAAAUCCAGAAGAUUCUUGUUCAGCUUCAGGGCUUUUGGGAAAAGGUCAACAUGUUGCUGGGCACCAUCAAAGACAAGACCUUUCUUGAUGAAGAGCUCAUUGAAGAACCCGAGUUUAAGGAGGAAUUUGUGAAGUCUAUCCAGGCAGCCUCAAAGGUUUGGGAAGGGUUUGGUCUCUCCUGUGGGAAAGCUGUUCAGAUAUUCAGAGUGCAGUCCAAGGACGCCUACAGUUUCCUGGAGAUCGACCCGUCCUCCCUUUCCGACGACGUGUGGCAGAAGGAAUACGACAGCGUGAAAGAGAAGCUGCAGGAGCUGAAGAUCACUGUUGACCCGCCAUCAACACCAGCCAUCCAAAACUGAUGAUGUCAUUUCUUUGGUGCAUUUAUUUCCGAGGCUAUCAGAUGAGCUCGUCAGUUGGGAUUAGUAGUCGGCUCACUGUAAAACUUGCUAUAUAAAAGCACAAAGGAAUCUAAUCACUGCUUUGACUCACUUCUAUAUGCACCUUCUGAGCACGCUCAGCUUUUAUUGUUUGGGCGGCUUGAUUCUGCAUUUCUUUAACCCCAUUAACGUCAACUGUGUUAAAUCUUGAGUGUUUAUCUGUUCUAAUGAGGACCCACUGAGAGAGACUGUGUCCCGUCGACACUCUCCAGUGUUUAUUAUCGAUAUAUUGAUUCUCUGUGGUUAAAUAUGUAUCCAUUGAUUAGCUAUAUUAUCUAAUGGCAUAACCAUCUAUAAUCUGGUGUGACUUUUAAACUUAGAUGUGCCACGACCAAGUAUGCAGCCCAGUGUUAAACGGGACAAAACCACCACCUGGUAUUUAACAUGCCAAGAAUGGUUUUUAACCCCUUCCCAAAGAACAGCCUGGGAGCUUUGUGUUAAAUCACGAUCAAUGGUUGUGCUAAAAGAAGGGCGCAUGCUCUCUUUGACCAAUGUCCAGAUCAGUUUAUGCAAAUGGAAACAAGCGAACCAUGCCCGAGUCUCUCUGACUUAUGCCUUGUUUCUUUGUUUUACUCUUUACUUUCCUUUCCCUUCUACUGCAGUUCCCUUUGAACAUUUAAUCAAUUAUUUUUGCAUGAUUGGUCCUUUUUCUCUACAGCAUCAAAAUAACCUGUUUUUGUCUGACGAAUUCUCUGAAUAAAUCUGGCAAAGACAUUUUUGACUGUUCUUUGACUCCAAAAAGAAAAUCUCACACCACCAUAAACUUAAUUCUCUGUUAUUAGCAGUCUGUCAUAAUAUUAACUGGGCGUUAACCAGAUUUACCGGCGCAGUUUUUGUGCUGAUGGUGAUGCCAGAGGAGAUUUGAACUCUGCAGUUAUUGAUCAGCAGAGCGUUGGAGACCGUUAUGCUCCUCAGAGCUCGGCGACCGGCUCUGUAGCUCUACGUGGUCUGACCCUUCGUGGCCGAGUCGCUGUGGUUCCUAAACGCUUCCCUUUUUCAGUAACACCACUCACAGUUGAUGCUGGAAAAUCUAGGGGGGAAGAAAGUUUGCAACGGUGGCGUCAUAUUCCAGCACCACACUCGAAUCCAGCGGCUCUUUAGACCCAUUCUUUCACUAACGUGUGUGAAGGCUGGCUGCAAGGCUAGCUGCUUGAUUUUAUACACCUGUGGCAACGAGACCGACUGAAACACCUGAAGUCAAUGAUUAAGAGGUGUGUCCCAGUGCUUUUGUCCAUACAGCGUAAAGGGGAUGUCCAUUAUGCCCACUUCAUAAUGAAGCACAUGACCAUGACAGCGAGCAUCACGUGAGACCAGUCAGAGUGAGAUGGCGAGUAUACACGCAUUUAUAGUUGACGCUCCUGCCGCUGGCGGUGAUGACGUGUUGGACACGUGCAAGUGAACUCUCUCGCGCGGCUGCCCCUGAAGCCCCCCUCGCCGCUGGCUGCUCUCUAUGAUAGUAAAAUAAUAUAAAUCCUGACAGAAUUUUAAAA
ensembl:lncRNA